rnacentral:rRNA from 1 species
UACGGAGGAUGCGAGCGUUAUCCGGAUUUAUUGGGUUUAAAGGGUGCGCAGGCGGUCUGUUAAGUCAGCGGUCAAAGCCCGGGGCUCAACCUCCGCCCGCCGUUGAAACUGACGGUCUUGAGUGGGCGAGAAGUAUGCGGAAUGCGUGGUGUAGCGGUGAAAUGCAUAGAUAUCACGCAGAACCCCGAUUGCGAAGGCAGCGUACCGGCUCCACACUGACGCUGAGGCACGAAAGCGUGGGUAUCGAACAGG